rnacentral:rRNA from 1 species
GAGUUUGAUCGUGGCUCAGAUUGAACGCUGGCAGCAUGCCUUACACAUGCAAGUCGAACGGCAGCAUGAUCUAGCUUGCUAGAUUGAUGGCGAGUGGCGAACGGGUGAGUAAUACAUCGGAACGUGCCCUGUAGUGGGGGAUAACUAGUCGAAAGAUUAGCUAAUACCGCAUACGACCUGAGGGUGAAAGUGGGGACCGCAAGGCCUCAUGCUAUAGGAGCGGCCGAUGUCUGAUUAGCUAGUUGGUGGGGUAAAGGCCCACCAAGGCGACGAUCAGUAGCUGGUCUGAGAGGACGAUCAGCCACACUGGGACUGAGACACGACCCAGACUCCUACGGGAGGCAGCAGUGGGGAAUUUUGGACAAUGGGCGAAAGCCUGAUCCAGCAAUGCCGCGUGUGUGAAGAAGGCCUCGGUUGUAAG